rnacentral:rRNA from 1 species
AGCUCCAGUAGCGUAUAUUAAAGUUGUUGCGGUUAAAAAGCUCGUAGUUGGAUUUCUGCGCGGGACGGGUGGUCCUCUUCUUAAGAGUGAAUCUUCUUCGGCCUGUGCAUCUACCUGGAAAACGGAUUUGUGCUUGAUUGCAUGAUUCGUGUUUUAGGUCAUUUACUUUGAGGAAAUUAGAGUGUUCACAGCAUGCAAUUGCAUUGAAUAUAUUAGCAUGGGAUAAUAAUAUAAGACUGAGUUUUUAUUUUGUUGGUUUCUAAGAAUUCAGUAAUGAUAAAUAGGGGUUGUCGGGGGUACUUGUAUUAACGCGUCAGAGGUGGAAUUCUUGGAUUGCGUUACGACAAACUACUGCGAAAGCAUUUACCAAGGAUGUUUUCAUUGAUCAAGAACGAAAGUUAGAACG